rnacentral:rRNA from 1 species
AUUGAACGCUGGCGGCAGGCCUAACACAUGCAAGUCGAGCGGAUGAAGGGAGCUUGCUCCUGGAUUCAGCGGCGGACGGGUGAGUAAUGCCUAGGAAUCUGCCUGGUAGUGGGGGAUAACGUCCGGAAACGGGCACUAAUACCGCAUACGUCCUGAGGGAGAAAGUGGGGGAUCUUCGGACCUCACGCUAUGAGAUGAGCCUAGGUCGGAUUAGCUAGUUGGUGGGGUAAAGGCCUACCAAGGCGACGAUCCGUAACUGGUCUGAGAGGAUGAUCAGUCACACUGGAACUGAGACACGGUCCAGACUCCUACGGGAGGCAGCAGUGGGGAAUAUUGGACAAGGGGCGAAAGCCUGAUCCAGCCAUGCCGCGUGUGUGAAGAAGGUCUUCGGAUUGUAAAGCACUUUAAGUUGGGAGGAAGGGCAGUAAGUUAAUACCUUGCUGUUUUGACGUUACCAACAGAAUAAGCACCGGCUAACUUCGU